rnacentral:rRNA from 1 species
AUUGAACGCUGGCGGCAGGCUUAACACAUGCAAGUCGAGCGAGCGGCGGACGGGUGAGUAAUGUGGGGGAAACUGCCUGAUGGAGGGGGAUAACUACGGGAAACGGUAGCUAAUACCGCAUACCAUCAGAUGUGCCCAGAUGGGAUUAGCUAGUAGGUGGGGUAAUGGCUUACCUAGGCGACGAUCCCUAGCGGAUAUGAGAGGAUGACCGGCCACACUGGAACUUGGACACGGUCCAGACUCCUACGGGAGGCAGCAGUGGGGAAUAUUGCUCAAUGGGCGCAAGCCUGAUGCAGCCAUGCCGCGUGUAUGAAGAAGGCCUUCGGGUUGUAAAGCACUUUCAUUAGGGAGGCGUUACCCAAAGAGGAAGCCCCGGCUAACUCCGUGCCAGCAGCCGCGGUAAUAC